GGCCCGCACAAGCGGUGGAGCAUGUGGUUUAAUUNGAAGCAAACGCGAAGAACCUUACCAGGUCUUGACAUCUUCUGCCAGGCUGAGAGAUCAGCUGUUCCCUUCGGGGACAGAAUGACAGGUGGUGCAUGGUUGUCGUCAGCUCGUGUCGUGAGAUGUUGGGUUAAGUCCCGCAACGAGCGCAACCCUUAUGUUCAGUUGCCAGCAUUUAGUUGGGCACUCUGGACAGACUGCCGGUGACAAACCGGAGGAAGGCGGGGAUGACGUCAAAUCAUCAUGCCCCUUAUGACCUGGGCUACACACGUGCUACAAUGGGUGGUACAACGAGCAGCGAGACCGCGAGGUCAAGCGAAUUUCUAAAAACCAUCCUCAGUUCGGAUUGCAGGCUGCAACUCGCCUGCAUGAAGCUGGAAUCGCUAGUAAUCGCGGAUCAGCACGCCGCGGUGAAUACGUUCCCGGGCCUUGUACACACCGCCCGUCACACCAUGAGAGUUUGUAACACCC
rnacentral:rRNA from 1 species